UCGGCCACACUGGGACUGAAACACGGCCCAGACUCCUACGGGAGGCAGCAGUAGGGAACUUUCCGCAAUGGACGAAAGUCUGACGGAACAACGCCGCGUGAGUGAUGAAGGCUUUCGGGUCGUAAAACUCUGUUGUUAGGGAAAAACAAGUGCUAGUUGAAUAAGCUGGCACCUUGACGGUACCUAACCAGAAAGCCACGGCUAACUACGUGCCAGCAGCCGCGGUAAUACGUAGGUGGCAAGCGUUAUCCGGAAUUAUUGGGCGUAAAGCGCGCGCAGGUGGUUUCUUAAGUCUGAUGUGAAAGCCCACGGCUCAACCGUGGAGGGUCAUUGGAAACUGGGAGACUUGAGUGCAGAAGAAGAAAGUGGAUUUCCAUGUGUAGCGGUGAAAUGCGUAGAGAUAUGGAGGAACACCAGUGGCGAAGGCGACUUUCUGGUCUGUAACUGACACUGAGGCGCGAAAGCGUGGGGAGCAAACAGGAUUAGAUACCC
rnacentral:rRNA from 1 species